CUGGGUUGUACAUUUUAGUAUCUUUAUAACUUCACCAGAUCGCUGUUUUUAAGAGCAAUGUUCAGUACAGAGUGCUAGGUUGAAGAGUCAACCUGGCUGAGCACACUCAACUUCACUUGUUGAGUGGAAAUUCAUGUGGGUGUGAACUGCAGCUCCGACGUCAAAUAAAAUGUUGUUUUAAUAAAAAGAACAGAUUUCAACACAAAAGACAAUGUAAUGCGUAAAGCAUUUGCUCAUCCAGUAACACCUCUUCACCAGUAAACAAGCUAGUCGAAUAGUUGCCGGUUUUAGAUCUUUAAACUAAAGUGCAGAUGCUCUUGCUGCUGCUCCUUUCCUCUAUCAAGCAAACACGUUGGAAUCUGCUCAGAACAAUAACUCACAUAUUUUCCCAAAACCCAAUACAUAACUUUAUUUGUAUCUCCAGUUCCUAUUCAGUUUCAUCCUUAUACGUGAUCCCAGACAAUUAUCAAGCAACCACUUUGAGCAUUCAUUCGUUUAAUAGUGUGCAAUAGUUCCUCUAUCUUGUACUUUGCAUACUAACAAGAUGUAAAUAGAAUAUGCACUGGCUAUAGGGAAAUAAUAUUACCAUCUGUAGUUUGCGCUGUCUCACUUCAUUAAAUUGAUAUAAACAACCAUGGUUUAUACAACCACUGAAAUCCAUCAGGGGGGGGGGGGGGGGGGACAAUGAGUGCACACUUUGGAAUCAGGGUAUGUGAAUGAACCAGACACACACUAAAACUUUUGAGUAGAUUGAGGCUAAUUCUUUCCCACAUACAUACACACAAACACUCUCUCUCUCUCUCUCUGUGUAUUGCUAUUGAGAGAAUCCCUGUGUAAGAACUUCAGUUCAAAUUGACCUGUUCUCGUUUCCUUUGCAUAGCAAAGUUCUUCAUCGCCCUUUUAGGAGGCACAAGUGUGUUACUCAGCCCUAUUCUCCUCUUCUUAGACUGCUGACCCUCCUCCUCAGGUUCUCCUCCUUGGUUGUGGAGAAAGUUCGGGCGGCAGGGGUAUGAAGAACCCCCUGCGUUGGGGUCAGCUUGGUCUGUUCCGGGAGACUCCCCCGUGGGUGGGUCAUAGUCACUGGGAAUAAUUGAGCUCUGGAGGUCACUGUCAUGGGCAAAUUUGCAUUUGAUCCCAAACCUGCAACGCCCGUCCUUCCUGUACGCCACACACAUCCUCCUGCCCCCUAUUUGAGAGGGCCGGGCCUGCAGAGUGAGAGGAACGUGCUUCUGCAAGACAUUGAGCUUCAGCUCGGCUUGAGCUUUGAAGGGAUUGGUGAACACACCGCUCUUGGACGAAGCCCCGAGGGGGGGAGGGGGGAGUUUGUGGGAAAAGGAGCUGGGUGAUGCAGAGAGGAGAGGGGUCAGGGACUUAGAUGGGGAGGCCACACGGGCAGGCGGAGGGACCUUAGAUUGUAACUGAGUCAUGGAGUCCCCCUCUUCCUCUGGGCUUGAACCACAGUCCGACUCACUGGAAUGGGACCCGGAUUCUAGCAGGAAAUUGCAGCCCUUUUUGGUCUCUGCAUCUCCACCCACCUCAUUCCCAGGCCUUAAA
ensembl:lncRNA